AGCAGCUAGGGCGGGAGAGACAGGAGCAUGAGCUUCCAGGAGCCUAGCAGGUCUCUGUCAGACAUGGAAGCAUGAGCUCCCACGCCUACUACAACCCCCCACCCCAGGGCCUCAACUGAUCCAUUGUCUAGAUAAGAAAAGUUUUUUUUCUUCCUCUUUCUUCCUUUUUCUUUUUUAAAACGUUUUUAAGGAGGAUCUCAUGUAGCUGGGCUGACCUUCAACUCACUGUGUAACUGCGCAUGACCUUGAACUCCUAAGCUUCCUAACUCAACCUCCUGAGGGCUGCAUGACAGAUGUGCACCAUCAUACCCAGCAUCGCCUAGCAUUUCUGCUCCACAGUUGAGUCACAAAGGUGAAACUUGGGGAUUGCUGAGAGUCAACUGUCUAUCUCCACAAACCUCUAAGCUCAAAGGUACCUCUGCCUGGAUAAAUGAGGCUUUGCCCCUCUGGGUCUCAGUUUCCCCAUCCCUAUAGCAGAAUGGGAACAGGUCCCACCGGUAUAGGGUUAAGGACAGGGGCAAAGACUAGGAAGCUCAAAGGGAGCCUGGCCCUGGGUGAGGACCUGCCCAGUGGGGCUCCGUGGUCCAGAAGACAGCUGCAGUGGUGAAGGGAGCCCCGGCUCUGUCAGCAGCUGCCUGCUGGAGCUAAGAAAUUAUUGGUGACUAAAAAGAGACCUGCAUCACUGAGGGGAAAUCUUCUGGGAAGUGUUUCCUGAGAGUACAGAGAAGCUGUGUUCCAGAAGCAGCCAAAAUGGUACCCUGUGCUGGCAGUCGGCAGAGCUGGAGAAGUGACCCAGCCAUUUGGAGAAGUCCAGAAGAUCGUGAGUGGAUCCCAGAUGUUGGACAGUUGGAAUUUUGUUUUGCUUUGAUUUUAUUUUGACUCUGCCCUGAUUUCUCCCUCUUGAAGUAAAACAGUAUUUUACUGGAGCUCACAGUUGAGAGACUUUGGAUUUUAAAGGGACUCAAAUUUUAAUGUGUUUGAAUUUGUAAAGACUGUGGGACUUUUAAAGUUAUUUAUUUUUAAUGUGACAUCUGGGGGAUGAAUAAGAAAGGAGGUAUUGUGGCUUUAAAAGUGAUGUAUUUAUGUGUCAGGUUGACAAGGGGUCAGUUGUUCUGCCUGGCCUUGUAUGAAAACUUGACACACGCUAGAGUCAUCAUAGAGGAAGGCGCCUCAAUGAGGAAAUGGUGAGGAAUCGCCUCCAUGAGAUCCAGCUAUAAGGCAUUUUCUCAAUUAGUGAUCAAUGGGGGAGGGUCCAGUCCAUUGUGGGUGG